CGAGAUAGCUCAAUAGGUAGAGCAACUGACUUGUAAUCAGUAGGUUACGGGUUCAAUUCCUGUUCUCGGC
rnacentral:tRNA from 1 species